rnacentral:lncRNA from 1 species
UGGCAGGAAGAAGUCUGGAAGAGAUUCAGAGGGUAGUCGAUCACUGUAGAAAGUCGGCUGAUAAUGAAGCCCAGAGAGUAUUUGGAGCAGUCCGGUAGAUGACUGAAGGAGUUCAUUAUCGGAGAAGUCUGGAUGGCAUGAUUGGAGAUCAUCCUUUGGAGGAAUCUGGAGGGCACUAUGGAAGGUCAACUGUUGGAGGAGUCCGGAUGGUAUUGUGGAAGCUCAGACGGUCGGGGGAGUUCAGAAAAAUAUCAUACAAGGUCGGA